rnacentral:rRNA from 1 species
CUCAGUGGCGGACGGGUGAUAAACGCAGAACCACCUUUAGGAGGGGGACAACAGUUGGAAACGACCGCUAAUACCCCAUAUGCUUUAUAGUGAAACGGUUUUUCCGCCUAAAGAGAAGCUCGCGGCUGAUUAGCUCGUUGGUAGGGUAAUAGCCUACCAAGGCGACGAUCAGUAUCUGGUUUGAGAGGAUGAUCAGACACACUGGAACUGAGACACGGUCCAGACUCCUACGGGAGGCAGCAGUAGGGAAUUUUCCGCAAUGGGCGAAAGCCUGACGGAGCAAUACCGCGUGAGGGAUGACUGCCUAUGGGUUGUAAACCUCUUUUUUCAGGGAGGAAUCAAUGACGUGUACCUGAAGAAUAAGCAUCGGCUAACUCCGUGCCAGCAGCCGCGGUAAGACGGAGGAUGCAAGUGUUAUCCGGAAUCACUGGGCGUAAAGCGUCUGUAGGUGGUUUAAUAAGUCAACUGUUAAAUCUUGAGGCUUAACUUCAAAACUGCAGUCGAAACUAUUAAACUAGAGUAUAGUAGAGGUAAAGGGAAUUUCCAGUGGAGCGGUGAAAUGCGUAGAGAUUGGAAAGAACACCGAUGGCGAAGGCACUUUACUGGCUAUUACUAACACUCAGAGACGAAAGCUAGGGUAGCAAAUGGGGAUUAGAUACCCCAGUAGUCCUAGCCGU